AUUGAACGCUGGCGGCAGGCCUAACACAUGCAAGUCGAACGAGUGGCGGACGGGUGAGUAAUGUCUGGGAAACUGCCCGAUGGAGGGGGAUAACUACUGGAAACGGUAGCUAAUACCGCAUACCAUCGGAUGUGCCCAGAUGGGAUUAGCUUGUAGGUGAGGUAAAGGCUCACCUAGGCGACGAGCCCUAGCUGGACUGAGAUGAUGACCAGCCACACUGGAACGGGGGCACGGUCCAGACUCCUACGGGAGGCAGCAGGGGGGAAUAUUGCACGAUGGGCGCAAGCCUGAUGCAGACAUGCGGCGUGGAUGAAGAAGGCCUUCGGGUUGGAAAGGACUUUCAGCGGGGAGGCGUUACCCGCAGAAGAAGCACCGGCUAACUCCGUGCCAGCAGCCGCGGUAAUAC
rnacentral:rRNA from 1 species